CAGAGCUGGAGUCAGGUUACACUUUCUCCAGAGAGUCUUUCCAGAAACUAGCCCUCCUCCAACUGGCUUAGUUCCGUCCACUGGGAGCGCACAGACCUCUGUAUCUAGCCCCAUUGUAGCAUGUGUCACUCUGUAUUGAAAUUGUCUAUAUAUGUGUCUGUUUCUCCUCUAGGUGCAAGAUUCCUGUGGCCAGGGAUGGUGCCCUGUUCAGGAUGGGAACCUGAGUGCCUAGCACAGUGCCUGACACAGGAGAGGGACCAAAUUAUUUGUUGUUUGAAACCGAGGACCAUCAGAGAAAAAUAGGGAUAAUUAAAUGUUUAUUAUCGUAACCAGAGAUCUUCUGAAUGUGGUCAGAAGAAUCAGCACCACCUUCAAUUCUUCUUGCUUAGUCAUCUGUUUUGUCAGUAUUUCAACAUAGAGACAAAAAUGCCUCCAGUAUUCUGAAGUUGAGGGAACAGACACUGUGCCUUUCUCACACCUGAGGACGCAGUGAGUCAUAACAGGAUGCUAAUGUUUGCUGGAAACACCGUCUCUCUGUUCUGUGAAGCCCACCAUCAUUCAUAAUCAGCUGUGCCAUCUCCAGAUGUGUUCUUUUGCUAUAAGUCAUCAACGUGUAGCCUGAGCUGGGAAGCACAUUCAUACUGUUGGACCACCUGUUACUGGAACAGAUCGUGUUCAGGGAUACCACCAAGUCUUCACAGCGAAGAGUCUGGAAAGAUCCCCUUGUGGCUCUGGAAGGAAGAAGGGAAAAGUAACUAUUUUGAGUAUGCUCAGAGCAUUCUCCAUAAGAAAGUGCUACUCUUUAGGGGAAAAUGCUUUAUCAAAGCCUUAUCCCACCUAGGAAGAAGAGCAUUUACCAAUCUCCAGCCCCCUCUAGCCUUCCUGUCUCACCUGAAAAGGGGGAAAAAAAUCUAAGAGACACUUGUGAAGGUCAUAGCCUGGGGCACUGGCCCACUGAAACCCUGAGAUUUAAUCAUAAGAUUAUAGAAUGCUUCCCCUUCCCAAUACCUUGCCAUCACCUCAACAUGGCUCCUCAAGAAUAAGACUGGAUUACAGCUGGAAGAGCUGCAAGGCUCAGACUCUAUUUAAGAAGGAAUUUCUAGUAAAGCCCAAAGACAACAAGGGGACAAAAACUAGGAUAUUAGAGGAAUUUAAAGCCUCUGGCAACUGCAGCUACAGAAAACAUUAAUCAUGGCUCAAUUGUUAGCCAUGUUAACAUGAAACAACAUAAUAAAGGUUCAGUUCUUAUUACCUGGUGCAUCAUGUCUGGCUUUCAACAAAAAAUGACACGGCAUGUUAAAAAGCAAGAAGAAACACAGUAUCAAGAGACAAAGGAAUCAUCAGAACCAGACUCAGAUAUGAUACAGAUGUUGAAAUUAUCAGACAAGGAAUUUAAAAUAACUAAUUACUAAUAUGUUAAGAGAUCUAAUGGAAAACAUAAUUAACAUGCAAGAAAAGAUGGUUAAUACAAGCAGAGAGACAGAAAUUCUAAGAAAGAAUCAAAAGGAAAUGCUAGAAAUAAAACGUAAUGGAUAUAAAGAAUGCAUUUGAUAGGUUCAUCAGUAGACUGAACAUGGUCAAAGAAAGAAUAAGCGAGCUCCAAGAUAUGUCAAUUGAAGCUUCCUAGACUGGAAUGCAGAAAGCAAAAAACAACAACAACGACAAAAAACCCAGAACAUCCAGGAAUUGUGGGAGAAUUUCAAAAGGUGUAACUUAUGUAUAAUUGGAAUACCAAAAGGAGAAGACAAAGAGAACAGAAGAACUAUCUGAAGUAAUAGUUGCCAAGAAUUUUCCAAAAUUAAUGACAAACAGCAAAGCACAAAUCCAGGAAGCUCAGAGAACAUCAAGCAGGAUAAAUACCAAAUAAAAACAAACCACACACAUGCAUAUCAUAUUCAAAUUACAGAAAACCAAAGACAGAGAAAACUUUGAAAAAAAAACAGGAGGGGGAACACCUUACAUACAGAGGAACAAGGAUAAGAAUUACAGUGGAUGUCUUGUCAGCAACCAUGCAAGGAAGAAGUAGCACUAAGCGAAAUAUUUAAAGUGUUGGGAAGAAAAACCCUACAAACCUAGAAUUCUAUAUCCAGGGAAAUUAUUCUUCAAAAGUGAAGGAGGAAUGAAAACUUUCUCAGACAAACAAACAUUGAGGAAAUUAACAGUAGUAGACCUGCCUUAAAUGAAAUGUUAUAAAGGAUGUCUUUAGGGAAAAGGAAAAUUAUAUAGGCCAGAAACUCUGAUCUACAUAAAGGAAAGGUGUUGGACAUAAAUAAAAGUAAAAUAAAAACUUUUAUGGGGGCUGGCCUGGUGGCGUAGUGGUUGGGUUCGUGCACUCUGCUGUGGUGGCCCGGGGUUUGUGGGUUCGGAUCCUGAGUAGUGAUCUGCACACCACUCAUCAAACCAUGCUGUGGAGGCAUCUCACAUACAAAAUAGAGGAAGAUUGGCAUGGAUGUUAGCUCAGGGACAAUCUUCCUCACCAAAAAACACCUUUUAUUUUUUAUUCUUAAUUGAUCUAGAAGAUAGCUAUUUAAAGUAAUAAUAUUAACACUGUAUUGGCUGAUUAUAAUAUAUGGAUAAGUAAAAUGAAUGACAGAAAUGUCAUAAGAGACCAGUGGUAGGAAUUGGGAACACUCUGUUAUAAGGUACCUUUACUACCCGUGAAGAGGUACAGUUACAGUGUUAUUUGAAUGUAGACUUAGGGUAGUUGUAAAUGCAUAUUGCAAACUCUAAGGCAACCAGUAAAAAUUUUUAAAAAGAAAUAUAAUUGAUAUGCUAAGACAUGAAAUAAAAGGGAAUCAUAUGGAAUGCUCAGUUAAAACCAGAAAAGGCAGAAAAAGAAGGCAAGGAGAAAAAAGAGACAAAGAAAAAGGACAAUUAAAUAAAAAUCAGUUACAAACAUGGCAGGUGUUAAUCGAACUAUAUCAAUAGUCACUUUAAGUGUGAAUAGUCUGAAUAUAUCAAUUAAAAGUCAGGGAUUGUCAGAAUGGAUGAAAAAAGAAAAUCCAUCUGUAUUGUUGUCUACAGGAAAUCCCCUUUUAAGAUAAGGACUGAGGAUCCUGAAGGAAAAGAAAACCUGGUCAUGUUUUUUGUUUCCUAGAGCUCUACUUUUUUCUUCCAUCAUCUGAGUCUUCCAGAGUCAGUACAGAAAGAAGACUUAAGGAAAAAGGGCAAAGGUCUUUAAAUCUAACUGGUGCUGACCCAUGUGGGCUGGAUAUCAUGUCCCCCACCGAUGCUGAUAUUCAAAUACUGGCACUUUCCUAGGCACAUGUGUGGGCUCCAUGGGAACAUCUGGACUGCAAUUUCUCUACACGGCAAUACACUCCCUGGCUGACCUUUCAUGACGCCUACUUGGUUUCCAUCUCUAGUGGUUUACCCCUGGAGUCUCCUGGCCCUUGCAGGAGACCACCACUGGGUAGAGUAGUUUCAAGAAGGUUUGAGCCUAGCUACCUUCAGGGGUACCUACUUGGCCAGUGGGAAACUCCUCCAUAUUUUUGCCAUAAAAUUUUCUGUAAGUGCAGGCUUCUCUCACCUCUGCCUUGUCUUCCUGUUCCCACUAGCCUCCUGACUUCAGAGUUCUUCAGAUAGAAGAAGGGAGCAGUCCUGUGCUCCCAUUUCCUAACCCUGGGAACAUCCCUCAUGUUCUAAGAAUUCUCCCACUGCGCUCAUCCCUCAUGUGGUGGCCGAACAGAGAUGCUCUGUAAAUGUCUAGAGUUUAGGUGAUGCUCCUUUGGGAGGUCCUCACAGGCGUAGGGCAGGAAAGAGAGAAAAGAGCUAAAUGUUCUCCAUUCUCAUAUAAUCUCUUCACUGAACUCUUGCAAAGAAUCUCCAAUCUUCUCUUAGGAAGGCUGGAGGUAGAUGUUGGGGUGGAGAGGCAAAGGACUAGGUUAGCCAUCUGAGUGGGUCUGUAGAGAUAUAUCUUGCAGCUUUCUUGAGAAAGUGAGGGUACUUGUAGCCCACUCUCCAUAGCUUUAGAGUUUUAGAAGUAUUCUAGGAUGACAUUAUAAAUUUCCUUUCCACUGGGCUUUCUCUCCCUAAGUAAUGUCUGCAACUGAUGAAUAAGUAACUACAUAUAAUAUGUAUUUCUAGGCAAUAUUUAAGAGCUUUACGUGUGUGAACUCAUUUAAUCUUUACUACAACUCAAAGAAGUAUAGAUAUGUUCUCCAUUUUACAAAUGAAUAAAAUAAGAUAAAAAUGGAUUACGCAAUUUGCUCAAAAUUGGCCAACUCGUAAUUGCCAGGGGUGGAACCCAAAUCUCUCUAGUUUGCCUCAAAAUUCAUGCUCUUAACCCAUAAGCCAUCCUGCCACUUCAAUGUGUCAUCAUAGUCCCCGGGGAUUACUUUGUCUAUAAAUAAUUAUGGAAUUUUUGCAUUGCUGACAGGAAGUGUGGAUUAACAGACAAAAGCACUGCAGAGCUGAAGUCUACAUUUUAAAGAGAAUAUUUAAUAAGCAGCAACAAUGUAUGGAGUGCUACUGUGAACCUGCAAUGUCACAGGCAGUGGGACUCUAGCAGAAGACCAAAACGGACCUGAUCUCCAUCCUGAUGGAGCUGACAUUGUGAUGCAGUAUUUCUCAAACUGUUUGUUAUCAUCCAUUACUGGGGGGUAAAAUCAAUGCUGUGUAACAAGACCUACAUUAGUUUUUUAAAAAAUUAAUAUAGAAUGCAAUAUAAAUUAUCAGAGCAUAUCACAUGUACAAGGGUAAGUUUUGUUUCAGUCAUAUAUAUUUCUGUAUGUGCACUGGAUUGCAGUAUGUUUUCUUAUUGCAAUUAUGUUUUUGUGUUGAAAAAAGGCACUGGUCUUCGUAGGACUUUACAUAGCUAAUAUAUUAUUGAUGCCUUCUUUUUACAGAAUAUAGGGAUUUAGGUCAUCUUAGAGAGAUAUACAAAACAGGAAGAUAACAUAAAUUAGAAAAUGAUGUAAAGAAACAAGAAGAUAGUGACAUAUAUUAAAGCCAGAAAUGAGACUAAGCUCUCUCGAAUGCAUUCUUAAAUACUUGCAAACUGGGGGAGUUCAUUUUGGCUUUAAUUUUUGUGGUCAAAUAAAAAGAACAAGAAAGGGAAGGCUGAUCAGUUCCAUCAGUUAUCUAAAAGGUCAACGCUCAGGAGUUACAUCUAGGACUGGUAGGAAGGCCAGAAAGAAGUUUGUCCCCAGGGUUCUCCUUAGGAAGAGACUCUAAAAUGCAACACUUUCUCCAUACAAGUAAACACUCAGUUCCAUGACCAUCUACAGGAGAUUAAUUAAUGUUAUUCCUUUCCUUCCUGUCCUAUUCUAUAAUACUCUCCAGGCUCAGAUACACAAGGGAAAGAAAUGGCAUAAAACCCUUGAGAAAAACAUAGAAGGGUGCCAUUUGAACAUCGAUUAAAAUCAACACAGAUUCCGCACUUGGGAAUUGUCAAGUCUAAAUGAGCUUUCUUAGGAAUUCGUUCUUCAGGCACCAACAAUUUUACUAGCUUUGACAAUAAUCCGUACAAUUUUCAUAGGUAAAUCCAACUUUUGCUUCUUCAACUUAGCAAAAUUUAUAAUCACGGGAAAUAAAAUUUUUUGAAACACAUUCACUAUGAGGUGCAUAAGAACAAAAACUAGCUACUUAAUAAGUAUGCAAAAAUGCAGCCCUAAGUAGUAGAAAAUGAAGUCCAUUUAUCUCUUGUUAUGAGUAUUUCUUAAACCCAGCUCCACAGAUAAAAUGUCAAAUUGCUAACCCUGGUUAUUAGUAAUCAUAAUCAAAUGAUGAUAGAAGCCAACUUCCCCAGGGAGAAAAUGUUUGAAAUUUUGACAGGAUGUAGAACAAAGCUAUUAGAAUGGGCUGCUCUGGGGUUGAUUGGUUGUCAUGAUCUAGAGAAAGUAUUUGGCAGGAUCUUAACUUUCAGAUCUUCAUCCUGCUGCCACCUACAAAUGCACCCGCUUUCUGAGAAGGACAUGGUUAGAAUAUAUGCUAAACGAAUCCGCUUGCUUGAUCACCAGCUGACAUGGAUCCCAAAUCACUAUUUUCACGCCAGUCCUAAUGAUGUAGGCUCCGUGGGAUGCGAGCACGGAGACAGCGGCAGGUCACUCAUUUCAUAGCUCAAUUUCCCAGAUGCUAUCUUAGUCCCCUCUUCUUCCAAGGGUCAACCCAGAGACACAGCGCAGCUGUCUGAAGGAGCAGAAGUCCCUGGGUGCAGAGGGUUUCUAAAGGAGCGGUAUCUGCUCUAGUCCAGUUUCGUUCAAAACUCCCAAGUUAUGGCUCCUUAUGUGCCUUAUGUGGUUAUCCAAUUAGAGCCCCCAAAAACUCCAUUUUUCUUCAAGUUGAUUUUAAGAGCUUCCCCCUGCACGGUACAGAAAGGGAGACAGAAGGAGAUGUGCACACCCCACCUGAAGGCUCAAGUGUGCCUCACACAAUGUUGCCAGAAGAGCCCGGCUUCCAGCAUGGACCAGCUCGCUUGUUUAGAACACAACUCUAAUAAGGGUAAGAGGGGGUGACAUUCAGAUCCCUUAUGCAGCUGGUGAACCCAAUGAGUUUACCUUGGAGGGAGAACAGUCAGGAGCUGACUGCUUUUUUCUCUCCUUGUGGUCCUCAGACAUCUCCAUUGUCAGACUUGCCCCCUGAAAUCAUCUGAGGUCCCAGAGUUUUCAGUCAUGCCUCUUUCCGGUAAUUAGGACUCGUUUUCAGGCUUUAAAACUUCCUAGUCCAUUCCAAUGCAGAAGUUCAACCUUACACUCUUACAGUCAAUAUAAUAAUCUUAUAGUAGUAGCACUUCCAUCCCUUGGCUUCAGAACUUCAGCGGGGUGAUGCAGUCAGAAGGUGGGAAAGACGCAAAGCUCCAGGGGUCCCCGUGAUUGGUGCAGUCGUGGUCCAACAGCAGGUGCCUCUGUGAGGCAGGCGGCACCAGAGGCCCUCUGAGCACAUUUGUGAGUUUCUUUGGGAGGCUUCCUGUGUAGCUUUCUGAAACUCUUGCUUGAUUUCCAGACAGGGCAAAGUACAAUCUUCCCUUUACUUACUCAAUAGUUGCAUUCCUGAAAAAUUAGAGCAUGUUAAGAUGGCGCCAAAAGUACUGGGUAUUUACAUGUAUAAUGGAGUUAAGGUCUGGGUUCGGAGAUUUAUAAAGAGGUUUUUCACCAAUGAGACAUUUGAAGGCUGUAGGGGAAGUGGGACGCUUCUCUGUCCUGAGCAUUGCAGAUGUCAAGUAUCCCCACCUCCUCCCACUAAAUGUCAGAGACAGCACUCCCACCCCCUCAUCCUGGUGACGGCCAAAAUUACCCCCUCAUAUUUCCAGAAAUGCCCCAGCGGGGAAUUGUACUGCCCUCAGUGAGCCCUCUAGCCCCUACUUUUUGAACAUGGGACACUUAUCGCCUCCUGUCCUCAACUCUGAGCUUUUAGCUGAAUCUCGAGACAGGAGUCCGGACUAAGAAAAUCCCUACUAGGGGUUUUAGAUUAAACUAUACUUACUGUGCUAAGCACUACAUAUAAAUUCUUGUAAAAUUGUGUUAGGUUAAAUUUCAGCAAAUGAGGAAACUCAGAACAGUUAAAUAACUUAUCUGAGGUCAUUCAGCUAAUAAAUAGCAGCAUCAGAAUUUGAAUCACAGGCUUCUGAUCUAAUACAUUUAAAUAACUAAAUUGGAUUUUUGUAAGAAAGAACAAAGAAAAAACAAUAAUCACAUUAUAAAAUGGAGCCAUGAUAAAGUUUAUAUUCGUAAAAUGCUUGCCAUAAAGUUCAACAUACUGCCUAAGGCUGGACCACAAAUUUUCCUCUGAAAUAAAAACAGGGAAACAUUUUCAACUACACCAUUCACAAACUCACAAAGUUAAACUAAAGAGAAUCACUUUCCCUAACUUUAAGCCUACCUUUCUUUCUGAAAUUCUGUGGUCCAAAUUAUCUAUUGCCCCCAUUUGGCAUUUAGUCCAUAUUAGCUUGUACAGCUAUUUAUCUCUUUACUGAAAAUUCAGUAAAUUUGACCUUUUGAGAAUUUUCCUUGGGCUCAUUUUGAAAGGUACUGUAGAAUGUUGAUUUUGUGAAAAAUGAUGAUGAUCCUAGCUCCCUAAGCUGUCUGGAGCCUGCUCUCCAUCCUCAGCGUUACUCACUGGUAUCCUGACUAUCUCCUCAGCUCUGGCAUGGCUCCAAACUGUCCCCCACAUUGCUGCUAAAUUCUUCUUUCUAAAAUGCACGUCUAACUGUACCUCUUAUCUGCUUCAACUAUUCCAGUGAGUUCUUAAUAGCAAUAGGAUAAAGGCUAAACCCUCACAGCGUGGCGGUAAACUUUUCUAUGACUCUCUGGUUCCUGAUUAUUCCAGUCUAAUCCUAUGCCCGCUCAUACCCAACAUUACCAUCUAUUGAACAACUUUGUGCACAGCAAAGCUUUUUGGACCUGGAGCAACUUGCUCAUGCUGUUCUUCUUGCUUGGAAUACCCUUCAUAUCCCAUGCUCCCGUUACAUAUGUCUUCCUUGCUUCGCUCAAGCAUCAUUGCAUUAGUGAGGUUUCAAUUACUAUAGGCUAGGUAGUAAAUAAGCCCCCCCAGUUUUGGUGGACCACAAUGAUAAUCACUUAUCUUGUAAGAGAGCAAAAAGGGGCUCGUUCUGCUUGCCACAAUCUGGUGCCAAUCAAUUGCAAACAAUCCGGUGGUUGAGAAAGGCAAAUUGAUAUGAUUAGCCAGCAUAAUCGGAAGAUGAUGGACUAGUGCCCUGAAGAACCAUCUUAAAAUCAUAAGACUCCUGAGGCAGUUGUAGAGGGGAAAUGGGCGGGGAAGGCGGGGAGUUGGGGAAAUCGAUUAUCUGGUGUGAUGAAAUUCAAGGCACCACAUUAUCUCUUUCUUCUGUCAUUCGUGAUGGGUACCAAUGCAGCAAUUUUCUUUCUGGAGGUCGUAGUGUUCCUGGGGAACUCAGAGAACAAAGCUGUCUUACCACAGCUGGGAGAUAUAUGUAAGCAAGACUCAUAGAAUUAGCAGAUCGUGUAUUUUGUAAAAGCAAAAGGUGCUUAAUCAUCUAGGCUACCUGCAGGUUGGAAUGUAUUCACAGAGACUAGUGAGUCAGGGUCAUGGUUACAAUAUUGCUUCUUUUCCCUAAGAUGGCUUCCCUCAUGUUAACUUAAGAUCUAGUGGUUACAAUUUCAUGCUCACAGGUUUGCAGGUCAGCCAAGGGAGCUCUGUGAGGCUGUGGGUCAGGUUUAUAUUUGCUCCUCGUAUCUCUCAUUAUGGGACCUAGGGCUACCCACGGCCUAUUUUUCUUCUGGUGGAUGGUAGGUCAAGAGCAGCAGUCAAUCACCAAAGCACAUUUAAAGCUCUUUAACAUUCUGUUGCCCCAUGCAAGUCACAUGGCCAAGCACAAAGUCAAUGGGUUGGAAAAGUAUACUCUGCCUCUUCAACAGUCAGAGUCACAGUAACGUCUCACGGAAACUGGUGUGGAUGCCUAAUUCUGUUAUGGAGAAGUAGUGAAGACCUGGGAACUAGAAUUCAAUUGGUCCUAAUCAUCUCUAUGAAGCUUUCUCUAACUAUCCCAAGUCCUUGAUAAAAUGAUCACUCCUUUCUUUGUGGACCCACUCACAACAGACAUAAUUCUAUAAUAGCAUCUUUAACAUAUUUAAUAAACUCCCUUCUUUAAGUGUCUGUCCUCCUCUAUUACAUGGUAAAAUCUCAUUUUAUUCACCUUUGUGUUUUUCAAGUUUAUCACAGACCGUGGCACACAUCAAUAAAUAGUUGUUGAAUUAAUUAUUUAAUUUUUAACUAAGUACAUUGAGCAAAAGAGUGUAAAGCACAAAGAGGAUAAAGUAUUAAGAGUAUAAAGUAUAAGAGUAUAAAGAAUCUAAAUGGACCAUGAAAAAUCUCAACCACAAAUAGGAAAACAAGUUGUAGAUCAUUCAAUCAAGUUCAUAAAGAGAGGAGGCCCGUUGAUUACCCAUCUGUCUUUGAAAGCAUGAUAUAAAGAUGUCCAAGGCAAAGACUGUUGGGAGUAUGUGUCUGGUUUCCUGUGAGCACGUGGGGCAAUUGCUUAAGACUGGUUUGAUCCAGAUGUGGUGGACCUGCUGCUGUGGGCGGGAAGGGAGCUCUUGCCCAGGGAAAGUGUGGUGAGAGUCUGUUAGAAGGAGGAAACCUCAAAGGAAAAACGGUUCUGAGACCUUAUUUACGACAACGUUUUGUGUAGCCCUUUAAGUGGGGAAGUGGCUACUUUUUAAACAAAAAUUGGUCUGUUGAAAAAAGAAAAAAAAGGGACAUUGGUCAUUUGUUCUUGUAGAUCAUGCAACAAACAAAAAUGUCUCUGAAAGAAUGCAUGGUGUUUAUUUAUAAGAUGGG
rnacentral:lncRNA from 1 species